rnacentral:rRNA from 1 species
UGAGGAAUAUUGGGCAAUGGACGCAAAUCUGACCCAGCCAUGCCGCGUGCAGUGAAGACAGGCCUGUAUGGUUGUAAAGCUGCUUUUGUCAGGGAAUAAACCCCCGGAUGUAUCCGGGGCUGACUGGUACCUGACGAAAUAAGCAACGCCCAGCUCCGUGC